UUUGUGUUGCAAGUGGGGCCGAGAAGCUGAUAACUCCCAGAGUUCUGGAGAAGGGCAGGGACGGGUCUGAAACUGCAUAAUGUUUGACUGAGAGUGGUAGACAAAGCAAACGACAACAGAGAUUCUGGAGGAGAGGCAGGGUGGUCCCUAAGUAGAUGAAGUUAGCUGAAAAAUACUAACACAACAUGGCUGAGGCACAUCAAAGAUGAGCACAAUACAAUGUAUCUGGGUACAUAGGUUUAGUAAGAAGGGAUAAAAGGUAAUUUCACAGGAAGAUGAAGUCAGGCCUAGGAUCAGAAUUUAAGUCAAGGUUGGUAUGCUCAAAUUUCAAGAGCUAUAAUUAAAAUCACUCAUUCAUUACCUUUGAAGAAACUCUUAAGGACAGAGUAGUUUAAAUCAUGGACUUUGGUGUUAUGAAGGACUUGGGCUAAAAACUCUGCAUCUUUUGUUAAGUUUUUUUUUUUUUAGGCCUUUCAAUGUUCCUCUGAAGUCACAUGUUCAUAGGCUCAAAGAAUGUGUGCUGAGCAAAUUGUUUCUGUGGUCCGGUGGAUGUGUCCAGCAAGAUUUGGAUUGCUGAUAGUAUCUUUGUACCUGAAAGUUCUAAGCCAUUUGUUUCAGUGCUUGGUUUUGUCUUGUCUAAGAGGAUUGGGCAGGUUACCUGGUGCUAUCUUGAUCCAAGGUGUAGGAGCAGAGAUUCAGCUGAAAGGGACAGGAGGCUAGGGACCAGGGAAUAAAAGCAUUAUAGAUACACUGGGGGCAGGGAGAGAACUCUGAGAUAAUUGAUCUUGUGAAAAAUCAGGAAAACUGAAUGCUUUCACUUAUUAAAACAUUGGUGUCUUUCUAUGUGCAUGCCUCUUAAUACUAAGAGCCACUAAGCUACAAGAAAAGCUGAUGAGAUAAAGAGGCAUUUGAUGAAUUUUGAGUGAGGCCAAGUUCAAUGACCAAGUAAAUGCAAUGCAGAACCCCCAAGCAUGAGAAGAAUGAGGACAUUAGUGGUCAAUCUGCAGAAACCCAAGUGUAAGUGGGAAUUUAGUUUAAAUUAUUGUACCAAUGUUAAUUUUAAAAAUUUGGUAAUUAUUUUAUGAUUAUAUAAAAUGUCCAUAUUAGGGGAAGUUGGCAAAACAAAUUUUUAAGCCCUUUGCGAAUUUCAAAUUAUUUCAAAAUAAGCUCUUUUUUUUUUUUUUUUAAUUAAGAGGUCAAACUCUGUCCCUUUCAACUGCCAUUCAUUUCAUUGCAGGGUGUCUAAGGACAGUUUUGAGAAUACAUAGAGGACUUUAGCACUACAUAUACAUUUGAGCUCUGCCCUUUCCCCCUUAGAAAUAUAUUUAUAUUUUUACACGCUCUCAAAACUUCCCCUAAAUGUGAUUGUUAAUAUGUACAGUGUGUUUAACCAGCCCCUUUCAGAUGGUUUCCAAUUUUAUGCUGAUAUAAAUAAUACCACAGUCCAUCUAUAUACACAUAGCUUUGUUUCUUUUAAAAUUGAGACCUAGAAGUGAAAGACCAGUGUCAAGGAAGAUAAACUCAAAAGAUCCUAAUGCCUAACAUCACAUCAUGCUCCAGAAUGAAGCCAUGAGCAGUGUGCUUGAGCCUGCCUCACUGCCCAGCUAAUCCACAUAGGCUGACAAAUAGAAGAGAAUGCUCCCUCGUGCUCGCCCAUCCUUAUGCGCUUGUUUGGGGAGCACUCAUUUCCCUUCUAUGAAUCUCAGUUUUAGUUCUGCAGUGGAUUUAUAAGUUUGAGUUUGUUGUUUUUUAUUUAAAUACAUUUUUUGUAGUAGUAGUUAUUGUUGUUGAUUUUUCUUUUUCAAGAAAAAGUGUUUAAAAGCCCUGGUGCUCCUGGAAUGCACUUUAUAGACCAGGCUGGCCUUAAACUCACACAGAUACACCUGCCUUUGCCUCCUAAGUGCUAGGAUUAAAGGGUGCAGUUUAAAAUCAAUUUUUGUCAAAAUAUAACUAUGUCAGUUAUGUCAAUUAGUACUUUUUGUUAUUUUUUCAGUUUAGCACACCAAGUAGUAGGUUUCAUGACGGCCUUUUCAAAUAUGUCGGUUUACUUGUCUUCCUCUUUUCACCAACCUUUACAGCCUCCCCGUUACCCUUCAUGCUGACUCCUAUAGCUUUCCUAUCCCUUAUUGGUUUUUAAGGCUGGGCAUAUUUUCCUCUUCCCUCUCUUCUACACUUUACUAUUUUUUCAGUGUAAAUCUUCAAGAUGGUAGUGCAUGGCACACAAGUUUUUAAAAAUGUAGUACCUUAUUGGUACCUUAAAAAAAGAAAAGAAAAUACCUUUCUAGAUCUCUCACGCAUUCUCCCUGCUUCUCAUAUUUUCUGUCCAUCCACACGUCCAUCCAUCCAUCUAUCUAUCCAUCCAUCUAUCCAUUCACCCAUUUGUCUAUCCAGCUCUAGAUAUCAUUCAACUUGAGACCCUCUUGCCUCAGCCCCCAACGUGCUGGGAUUGCGGCUGUGCUAUCCCACUGAACUUUAAGAGUCUUUAACUUCAUUUCAGAUGAAUGUAUGAAGUAUAUGGACAAAUUAACGUGUGUGUGUGUGCGUGUGUGUGUGUGUGUGUGUGUUUAAUACCACUAGCGAGAGGAGCUGUGAAAAUUAGAGGAUAUGGAAUUACUACUCACAGGAGUUAGGAGAGUACCAACUUGAUGCAGUCUGGAUUUAAUAAAAUUCACCAUCACCUAGUAUCGGGCACUCCACACAUGUAGUAAGUAGUUUCCCACUGAACCUGUAUUAGUGUAUUGGAGACAAAAGGGUUUAGAAUGUGUUUGGUGCUAGGAAUGACAUUUAUGCUUCAGGCUUACUCUACUGGGUCUCUUGAACACAGAGACCUCACUGGACACCAGUGGUUCUAGUGCAUAGUAUAACAGUAGUGUGCUGGUUUCCUUUUAUGCCCCAGGGACAUAUCUGUC
rnacentral:lncRNA from 1 species